rnacentral:rRNA from 1 species
GACGAACGCUGGCGGCGUGCCUAAUACAUGCAAGUCGAACGAGAGCGCCCGGUGCUUGCCCUGGUCAAUCUAGUGGCGAACGGGUGAGUAACACGUGGGUAACCUGCCCAUCAGAGGGGGAUAACAUCCGGAAACGGAUGCUAAAACCGCAUAGGUCUUCGAGCCGCAUGGCUUGAAGAGGAAAAGAGGCGCAAGCUUCUGCUGAUGGAUGGACCCGCGGUGCAUUAGCUAGUUGGUGAGGUAACGGCUCACCAAGGCCGUGAUGCAUAGCCGACCUGAGAGGGUGAUCGGCCACAUUGGGACUGAGACACGGCCCAAACUCCUACGGGAGGCAGCAGUAGGGAAUCUUCCGCAAUGGACGCAAGUCUGACGGAGCAACGCCGCGUGAGUGAAGAAGGUUUUCGGAUCGUAAAACUCUGUUGUUAGAGAAGAACAAGUGCUAGAGUAACUGUUAGCGCCUUGACGGUAUCUAAACAGAAAGCCACGGCUAACUACGUG